GACGGGUUUUCUCCAUGUUGGCCAGGCUGGUCUCGAACUCCCAACCUCGUGUGAUUCACCCGCCUCGGCCUCCCAAAGUGCUGGGAUUACAGGUGUGAGCCACAGUGCCUGGCACUUCUUUAAAGGUCCUACCUCCAAAUACAAUCGCAUUCUGAUAUACUAGGGAUUAGAGAUUCAACGUAUGAAUUCAAAGGGACGAAGCAGCCCUGUAUUGCCCUCUGCUGCCCUCUAGGCCCUGGGUCCAUUCUCCCAGACACACUGCUCUUUCGCAGGUGGCCACAGUGUCUUCAGAGGGGCUGCCACAUGAAACACCCGCCUCCACUCCCUGCCCCCUGCCCCCUGCCCUAGUGGGAGUUUGAGGGUGGCUAGAUUCAUCCUAGGGCAGCCUAGCCUUAGAUCCAAGGAUUAGCCAUGGGACCAGGAGCGAGCAGGGGUGCCGGCAGAGUGGAGGGAGAUACAGGUGCUGGGAGCUGGGCUGGGGCUGCUCUCCUGGUCCCCAUGUCCGCUUGUUUUUUCAGAGCAGACCCAAGCGGGUAAGCUGGCAGGUUUCACUUCCACCCACCCUGGUACAGGGCGAGACUGGAGGAAGCAGCUUCGCCGGGCCGAAUCCUCACCCCUUGCCUCUGACUCAGGACUCCCGUGACGUCUUCCUGCCCCUGCUGCAGGCUGGCCCUGCACCCUCUGUGCACCGUGGACCAGGCUGGCCAGCAGAGGGAAGGAACCCAAGCUGACCAGGGCCCCAAAUCCCCAGUGGGUCAGAGUCAGGUUGGCAGGGCACUUGGACCUCUUGAGGCGGGUGAGAAAUGUGCAGACAGGGAAGUGGAGGCCCAGGGAGGGGAGGGGCCUGCCCUGACCAGUGUACUGCCUCCCUACCUGGUGCAGGGGCCCAGGAGGCUCUGUGUGCCAGCCCAGCCUGCCCGGGGAGGAAGCAGCCCCCACCCACGCACAAGCACAGGGAAGUCAGUGCAGGGUGGAGGGUGGGGACUCCUGGGGCCCCCUGUGUCAGGUCCAAGCACGGCCCAGGAGUCAGCCAACCGAGCUUCCAGCGGUGCACAGACACUGACUUCCUGUUUGAUUUGGAGCAAGCCUUCUCCUCUCUCUGGGCCUCAGUUUCCCCAUCUGUUAAUCGGCUUGAUUUAAGAGAGCGUAAGGCCCCUUUGCACUCUGCUUUUCUGCCC
rnacentral:lncRNA from 1 species